CAAGCAAUCUCUUCUCCUUCCCCUCCAAGCCUUCCCUCUCGGGCUUCAGACUACUUGUUCUGACCAUGGUCCCUCAAGGAGCACUUCCUGGUUGGGGGCUUGGGGAUCCUCCCACACAGGACACACAGGACACUGGCCUUCCAGGCCAUUCCUCACUGAUCUUACGGCUGCUUCUGUGCAAAUCCGGGACGUCUCCCCACCUCUGGAACAGAGCAGGAUGUGGGUCUCCAUCAUGGGAGUUAAGCCAGCCCAGCCAGGUCAUACAGCAAUGAAAGCUCGGGCUCUGCUGUGAUGUCGGCAAGCUUGACCUCAGCAGCCCUCAGUGUUCUCAGCUGCAAAAUGGGGACACUAAUCACACCCACACUAUAGUGUCACUGUGCGGAUGAGAUGAGGCAGUGAUUACAAAGCUCUUAGCAGAUGCCCGGGACAAUGUGAUUGCUCAGUAGAUGGGAGCAAUUGUUGUUCACAUCCGCUUACCACUUUCAGAUGGCCUACUCUAUGUCAUGCACAUGCGAGGCCUGCUAGGCGCUGGGGUAAGUGGAAAACGACAAAGCAAUGGAAGGUCUUUGAAUGGAAUUGUGCUGUAAGCCCUUCAGGAAUGUUGAGGAAGGAGCAACUCGCUCUGCCUGAGGACAAGAGCAGGAAAGGAUGUGCAGAUCUUGGUGGAAGCAAGUUCCUACUUGGGAAGGUAACCUGUCCAGAUGGUGGUGCUGGCUGCCCCUGUCCUUGCGUGAAUUUGGCCAGGUCAGCCAUUGCUCUAGCUUAACGAAUGAGUCUAGGCUCCCCCGUGGCCCUUUGGACUCAGCACAAAGAGCCUUCUGGAGGCUGCCCUGUGGACACCCACCGCUCAGCCUGAAGCUCAGCUUCUGAGUGAGGCUUCCUCAGAGAUGCUGUGCUUAAUGUGAGGGACAGAUUAGUAAUAGGACUUCCACCAAGUGUUUCCCGUGUGCCCCGCCCAACCCAGGCCUUUACAGCAUCAUCGCGUUUAGUCUGCCCAAGGACCCUGCGAGGUCAUCUUGUCUUGUAUGAAAGCCUGGCUCCAAGAAUUUCUAGUUUUGCAACUUUGGGCAAGUUAAGUAACCUUGCUGUGCCUCUGUUUCUUCAUCUUCCAACAAGGACAUUUGUCCCACCUCACAGGUUGAUGAGGGGACUAUGUGAGCGGAUAUAUGCAAAGCCCUUGGAACAACCACUGGCACAUAGUAAGAACUUGGUAACAGUUAUCAUUACGCCACUACAAGUGCUUUACUUUUCGAUCCAUUUGCAGACUAGUGGUGACUGAUGAGGCAAAGCUUGACAGUGAUUCACCAAAAUGUAUUUCUUCUUCUUCCUGGGCACACAGCUGAUCUCCAUUUCCUACCUCUCUUGACGCUGGGUGUGGCCAUAUGACUGCGGUCUAGUCGUCCGGGAUAUGCGCUGAAGUGAUGUGUGCCCUUCCAGGCCUAGCUCCCAAAAGCCUCACAGCUUCCUCUACCAUCACCUGCCCCAUUGGGGCCAGCAGGAAUAGAGACGAGCCGAGGUCCUAAAAUGACUGCCUGGGGAAGGCCGUUCUGCAGGGCUCUUCCCAUGCGUGGUUCUGCUCCUUCACUAAGAAACACGCUUGCAUUGUAUUUGAACUCAUAUGCAUUUGGCUAGCACACCAGCCAGCCUUACUGAUACAGCUCAUAUGCAUGAGCUCAUGAAGGAUCAAUUCUGGAGGGAACUGUCAGAGCUGUAGUUGUCUAUCUAGCACAUCUCCCUUCCUCCGCCUUCCCAUAAAACCUCUCUUGUUUUAUGGGAAAUCUAGAGUGACCUGGGGGUGGCGUGACACCUCCACCACCAUCUGCAGGCAGUGCGCACAGACUGCAGGCCAGGCCCUCCCGAUGCCACCUGACUAGGCCUACUAAUCAAUCAUUGCAACCGGUGGAGUUUCCCACCGGAACUCCAGCAGGACGGUGAGCUCUCUUUUUUUUUUUGAGAGGAUUGCUGGUUUUAGACAAUGAAGAUAUUUUAGGGACCUAGUGGCCAUGGUGUUAGUUACCACAUGGCGAGUGCUUGCCGAAGAGAGAAGCCAACAUGAGGAGAGCAACUCCAACAUGGAAGUGCAUCUCUGACAUCAUCUGAGCUCCUGCAUUUGUUAGUGUCUGGUUCAUAUUUCCCAGUUACCUUGGUCAGUGAACCUCCUAUCGGGUUAUGCUAAUUAGAGCAAGUUUUCCCUUUAUUUGGAACGGCAAGUUCCCAACUUACCAGCUUUGCCCCUUCCCAAUAGUUCCCUUAGGCCUCUGGCUCUACAUACUCUCUCCCUUCCCCCAGCACCUGUGCCGAAAGCUGUCCUGAUAAUCCUAUCUUCACACUCUAUAAAAUAUUAAAAUUCCUUAAAUAAUCAGCGGCAGUAACAGGCACAGCUUCCACUGAGGGAAGAAGAGUAUCAGUCACUCACAUGUGGUUUCAACUGAUAAUACUCACUUUAGAGGGAGGGAGCCGGCUGCAUGUGCUACAAAAAGAUCCCAUCAACACAAACGCAGUAGGACCGCCCACACUUUUUUAAUUGCACUUGUGGGUGUCGGUCAGGGUGAGUGUCCCCAGAAUGUGCCACCCUAGUGUGUAGAUUAUUUUGAACUGCAGUCAAUUAAAGUCCAACAAACUCAGGAAGGGUAUUUUUACUUCCCCUUUUCUCUAAGGAAAUUCAGAUAGAAAAACCUGCUUUAGGAAGGGAACCGUGGCAUGCUCACCUUAAGCAUUUCCACCCUAGCAUCAGUCAGGAAGACUCCAAGCAUGAUUGCUAGGUACCCCUCUUCCCCUCCCCCCUCAUCCCCUCAUUCCACUGCUUCUGGGUUGCCUAACAAGAAUUUGCCUGCCAGGUGUGUUCUGCUCUUCCUCAGGUACCUAUAAAUUGCCCAUUCUCACUUUGGAAAUCUAAGACCCCAUCCCACCCUCUUUCUCUUUUGUCCCAAUGUUGCCUCACUAUCUUUGGAAUUUUCAUUCUUAUAUGAAUUCCCUGUGCGUGCACACGUAUUAAAAUUUUGAUUUUUCUCAUGUUAAUCUGCUGUUUGUUGUUUGAAUUCUUCUACCAGCCAGAAUUAAAGGGGUAAGGGGACCAUUUUCCAGGCCUCAACACACUGAAUUUUUAUUACUAAAGAUUUCUUAAAUGAUGAUGAAUUUGGAAUUGCAAAUUUCCUCCCUAUUAUGUUGCCUUAUAAUGGGACUUGAUCAGUAAUACUUUGAUAUGUUUUCAUUUAAAGCAACAUAGUUGCAACCCCAGACAUUUGCAAAGUUGGAAAUAACAAUAUAAAUUAACUUUUACAGUUAUACAAGUUAUCCUCCCAGCCUUCACUUCAGUCUUUUGGUCAAGCAAUAUUUGGUGGAAAUGUUCUAGAAAGUAUAUAAUCCACUUGUUUUGUCUCAAAUAAUGUCAGGCGUUAUAAGACUUGUAUAUUUGAAUGUUAUUUUGAAAUUCUUACUCAAACCAAUUUGUUAUUAAAAAAAGAUAGUUUUGAAAUACUGCUAAACUGUGCACUAUCAGUGUCUUUCAUUCAGGUGAAACCAGGCUGGCCAUUUGACAGGCCAGCGUUCUGUCCCCAUAUUCAUUUUCAGGCUUUGAGUUCAUUAGCUCAGUGUAACCACACGUAGGAGAAAAGGCUAUUCCAGCUUUGUCUCAUUUUUUUUCUUUUUAAUCUUUACCCUCUGUUAUUCUCUCUGGCUCCGCACCCCCCAAACCUUCCAAAUAUUUAAGAAUGGGAUUUUUAAAAAUCUCGCUCUAUGUUGUUUGCGGAAGGAAGAGUGUGGAGUUAUUGUUUCAUGUGUACAGAGCUUCUGUUUUGGACCAAGAAGUUCUAGAGAGACAGUGGUGGUGAUUACACAACCUGGAGAAUGUACUUAAUGCCACUGAAUUGUACCCUUGAAAAUGGUUGCAGUGGUCAGUUUUAUGCAUUGUUUGCCACAAUAAAAAAAGUAUUGUUCAUACUUCCUGUCUUGUGUAUUUGUAUAUGUCACUAAAUAUAGAUUCAUCACUCAUAUGGAGAGCAGUAACUACAAGGAAUGAAGAAGUCAGUCAAAUAUAGAGUGUAAAGCCAUUUCGUUCCUUAAAAAACUUACAAGAUAGAACAAAGCAUACACCAUCCUUUGCCAGCUGUCUUUGGAGAGCUGCUCCGUUUGCUCAUGCGCAGAGAAGCGCCAGACCGCGGUAUUGACAAGAACAAGAUGAAUGACCCCCUGGAGACCAUAGGCCUCUCCUUCCGUUUUGUUCCCAGUGAACGAGGCAGUGAAGGCCCCGCUCACCAAGGGCAGGCACUGUGGCUCUGCAAAGACCUGUAGUGUUGGUGCCACAGGAUGAUUCUUGCUGGAUUCAAGGAAUACCAGGCUGGUUCUCAUCAUCCAUCUUCAGAGGGUACAAAAAAAAGGUUGCGAAAUCCUGCCUCAGACCCCACACAGCCCAAACCGCUGUUCUAGCUGCAGGCAGGAAGCAGGAAUCUCCAACUGCUCUUUAAACAUGCAGAAGCCUUCCCUACACAUUUUUGUGACAAACUGAAAAUUAGCUGUUGAUUGUUAAUAUUUAUUCGUUUUUUUCACAUUAGAUUAAAAUACAGAAUAUACUCUUUCUACCCCACCCUCCAAAAAAUCCGGUUGCUUGAUUCUUAGUUAUUUCAAGUCCAGAUAAUAACUGACUAUAGUGUCUAUUUAUGUAACUAAUCGUUAUCAUCUAAGCAUUAAAUAUUCUUAGCUUACAGAGUGUCUUUAAAUCUGUUUCAUCAGUUAAAGACCAAGACAAAAACGUUCACACAAAUUUUUGACAGUCUUUCAUCUGAUACACUGAUAGAGAAUUGUAUUAGCUCAGCAUUAUUUCAUAGACAUUUAUUACUUGCUUGCUUGAAUGCAUAGGCACUUGGCUAGAUCAAAGUUUAAAGAAACUAUAGCUAGGUUUUAAAGAAAAAUUUAGUGAAACAUCCACAAAAUUGUUCCAAAUUCCCCCUGGAAAAAAAUUGUUGCUUGGAAGGUAUUUCAGAAGAAUAUUUUGUAUACAACUUGGGAAAUCAGUGUGAGUAUUCAGUAAGUGUUUUUAAAUGAAUGUUGUAUGGCUUUGAUAAAAAAAAUUAAACACACAAAUUUUGUCAUCAAUGUAUGUGUAUUAAAUGAACACACAUAAACAAAACUCUUACCGCUA